CAUCAGUACAGUGAUACACUCAUGGUACAAAAACCUGUUACACUACAGUGACCACACACACACACACACACACACACACACACACACACACACACACACACACACACACACACACACACACACACACACACACGUUUCCAUAGCGAGAGGUUCCACUUUGCAUUAUCAGCUCAUGCUUCAGUGCCCUGUGAGUGUUUAUAGCCCUGUGACUUUAACACUUCAUGACUGAGAGCUGCUGCUCAGCGACUUCACACACAGAAACCAUGAGUUUGAUCAGCGUCUUCAUCUGCACACUGCUCCUCUGUGCUCAAGGAUCCCAAAGUCAGGCCAUUGUGACUCAGAGUCCUGCAGUGAAAUCUGUUUCUCCAGGAGACACAAUCACCAUCAGCUGUAAAACCAAUGUUGCUGUUGAUAAUGACUGUGGUGGUAAAUAUGACUGUUUGUACUGGUUUCAGCAGAAACAUGGAGAAGCUCCUAAAAACCUGAUCUAUAGGGCUAGUACUAGAGCAUCAGGUAUUCCAGAUCGAUUCAGUGGCAGUGGAUCUGGAACUGAUUUCACUCUGACCAUCAGUGGAGUUCAGACUGAAGAUACUGGAGAUUAUUACUGUCUAACUGAUCAUUACAACACAUUCAAAACUUCUACGUUCACACAGUGUUAGAGCGUCGUACAAAAACCUCAGUGAGUGAGACUGCUGCAGCUGCAGGUGCUGAGGAGGACGAUGUGAUGCAGCACAAUGACACGGUUUAACAAACACAAUACACUUACUCAGUAGUCAAGUCCAGCUUUCUCACCUCUGAGGUUCAUUUACAUAUUUGACAGAGCUGCCAUGAGGCCAAAACCCUGAUCAGAGGUCAGUAGUUGGUCAUUUACCACUUUAACCAGUGUGGUGUUAGAGUGUGGUGAGGAAUAAAUCAGAAGA